GACGAACGCUGGCGGCGUGCUUAACACAUGCAAGUCGAACGGAAAGGCCUGUCCUUCCUUGUGUUGGACGGGUACUCGAGUGGCGAACGGGUGAGUAACACGUGAGUGAUCUGCCCCCAACUUGGGUAUAAGCCUGGGAAACUGGGUCUAAUUCCCGAUAGGACUGCAGGGUGGUGCCUGUGGUGGAAAACGAUUUUCUAGUGGUUGGGGAUGAGCUCGCGGCCUAUCAGCUUGUUGGUGGGGUAAUGGCCUACCAAGGCGGCGACGGGUAGCCGGCCUGAGAGGGUGGACGGCCACAUUGGGACUGAGAUACGGCCCAGACUCCUACGGGAGGCAGCAGUGGGGAAUAUUGCACAAUGGGCGGAAGCCUGAUGCAGCGACGCCGCGUGGGGGAUGACGGCCUUCGGGUUGUAAACCCCUUUCGACCGCGAGGAAGCCGCCUGGUUGGAAGGGUGGUGACGGUAGUGGUAGAAGAAGCACCGGCUAACUACGUG
rnacentral:rRNA from 1 species